CACUCCUGUUUCUGCCUCAUAUUCUGUUCGUUCCAUCGAAUUAUGGGUUCUAAUUAUGGAGAAGAUAAAGCCAAACGUCUGAUUCUUUUGAUUUGAUACUUCGAUUGCAUCCUGGAGGUUUGGAUCGUGUGAUGCGUAUUGGCUUUUGAUUCCUUACCUGGUUCUUGGGAUCGCCUCCUUUACCUCACUACAUUU
rnacentral:snoRNA from 1 species